rnacentral:rRNA from 1 species
ACGUAGGUGGCAAGCGUUAUCCGGAUUUACUGGGUGUAAAGGGCGUGUAGGCGGGACUGCAAGUCAGAUGUGAAAAUUAUGGGCUCAACCCAUAACCUGCAUUUGAAACUGUAGUUCUUGAGUGAUGGAGAGGCAGGCGGAAUUCCGUGUGUAGCGGUGAAAUGCGUAGAUAUACGGAGGAACACCAGUGGCGAAGGCGGCCUGCUGGACAUUAACUGACGCUGAGGCGCGAAAGCGUGGGGAGCA